rnacentral:rRNA from 1 species
GGGGGAAAAUUAAUAAAAUAUAAAUAAUAAAAAAAUUUUUAAUAUUGGGGGGUAUUAAAGUAUUUUUUUUAAAAAAAAUAAAUUAUUUUAUAAUAAAUUAGUAUUGAAAAAGAAAUUUGAAAUAAAUGAAAAUAAAUUAAUAAGAAAGUAGUUUUUGGUUAGUGUAUCUUGUGUAUCAGAGUUUAUUAAAAAAUAUUUUUUGGGAAAAAAAAUCUCGAAUUUAAAAGAGUUAAUUAAUUAUAAAAGUUAAUGUAGAAAAAUUAUUUUAAAUAAUUAAUUUGAAAUGAAAUGUUAGUCGUUUUUAAAUAUAUCUAGUUAUUUUAGAAAAAAAUUUAAUUUAAAAUUUAAAAAAUUUUAUUUUUAAUUAUAAUUAAAAAUAAAAUAUUUAAAAUUAAAUAUAUUAAGGGAUAAGCUUUAAUAUAAAAAUUUAUAAUAAUUAGAAUUUAAUUUAAAAUUUUUAAAAUUUAUAUUGUUUAAAAAUUAUAAUUUUUUAUAAAAAAUUUUAUUAAAAAUAAAAUUUAAUUAAAAUUUAAUUUUAUAUAAAAUAAUAAUAAUAAUAAUAAAAAAUUAGAAAUAAUGAUAAAAUUAGUAUAUUAAAAAAAAAUAAAAUUUAAUUGAUAAUUAAUUAAGUUAAAGGAAUUCGGCAAAAUUUAUAUUCACUUGUUUAUCAAAAACAUGUCUUUUAGUAAAUAAUUUAAAGUCUAAUCUGCCCACUGAUAUUAUAUUAAAGGGCUGCAGUAUAUUGACUGUACAAAGGUAGCAUAAUCAAUAGUCUUUUAAUUGAAGACUUGUAUGAAAGAUUUGAUGAAAUAUAAACUGUCUCUAAUUUAAAUAUAAAAUUUAAUUUUUUAGUUAAAAAGCUAAAAUAAAUUUAAAAGACGAGAAGACCCUAUAGAGUUUUAUAUUAAAAUUAUUUAAGAUUAUAUAUAUAAUUAAAAAUUAAAAAUAGUUUUAAUAUUUUAUUGGGGUGAUAAAAAAAUUAAUAUAACUUUUUUUAAGGGUUAACAUAGAUAAGUGAAUAAUUGAUCCAUUUUUUAUGAUUAAAAGAAAAAAUUACCUUAGGGAUAACAGCGUAAUAUUUUUUUUUAGUACAAAUAAAAAAAAAAGUUUGCGACCUCGAUGUUGGAUUAAGAUAAAAUUUAAAUGCAAAAGUUUAAAAUUUUGAUCUGUUCGAUCAUUAAAAUCUUACAUGAUCUGAGUUCAAACCGGUGUGAGCCAGGUUGGUUUCUAUCUUUAGAAUAAUAAAAUAUUUUAGUACGAAAGGAUCAAAUAUUUUUAAUAAUUAAAAUUUAUUGAAUAUUAUUAAUAAUAAUUAU